rnacentral:tRNA from 1 species
GGAGAGGUACCCAAGCAGGUUGAAGGGGACGGUUUGCUAAACCGUUAGUAGGAGUUUAUCCUAGCGCGGGUUCGAAUCCCGCCCUCUCCGCCA